CGACAGGAAACUUUUUCUUUUUGGGUAAGCUUGUUGUAGGGAUGAUAGCCCGUGCAGAACUCAGUAAUUUGAUGUUUGACUGAAUCUUGUUCUUGAAGUGUUGCUGUUAAACAUCUUUGAUAACAGUAAGCCAGGCAAAAGCUGUGUGCAACAGGAGAGUGACCAUGAUGCUGCAUGGUGCAAAAGUAAUGCUAAAGAGAAAUGCCACUGCAGUUUUGAAGAACUUGUAUUAUGGGCUUUCGCUGUCCUUGUAAUAGGUUCUAAGCUUCAGGUUAAAGGAGUUUGCCACGAUCCGGUACUAGCAAAAUAUGGCAGACAUGCUUCCUUUUUCUUGAGCUCCCUUUGUUAGCUGGGUCAGGUAAGCUUUUUCAGGCUUGAUGCAUCUCUUGAAGUAUCUAGAUUGUUGGAAAUUUCCACCAGAUCUUCAACCUUCGAACAUGUGAGUUUGCAUCGAUAUUUUGCUAGAUUUUAUAUAUCCUAAAGAGUGAAACAAAAUUUGGUUGGUGUAUCAAUAUGCAGGUUUGUUUGAAAUUCCAGCUCCCACAAAGAAAUCUAUUGCUGAUAGAAGCAGCAUCUUUCUCCUCUUGUUUUGGAGUCCCUAAUUAUGCCCGUUUAAUGACGAUAUCUAAUUUGAAAUACUACAAUUUGUGUAUUUUACUAUUUGUGUUCCAUCGAUUGAAUUCAGUCA